rnacentral:rRNA from 1 species
GGCGAACGCUGGCGGCGUGCUUAACACAUGCAAGUCGAGCGGUAAGGCCCUUUCGGGGGUACACGAGCGGCGAACGGGUGAGUAACACGUGGGUGACCUGCCCUCAGCUCUGGGAUAAGCCUGGGAAACUGGGUCUAAUACUGGAUAUGACUCCACGGUGCAUGUCGUGGGGUGGAAAGCCUUGUGCGGCUGAGGAUGGGCCCGCGGCCUAUCAGCUUGUUGGGGGGUGAUGGCCUACCAAGGCGACGACGGGUAGCCGGCCUGAGAGGGCGACCGGCCACACUGGGACUGAGACACGGCCCAGACUCCUACGGGAGGCAGCAGUGGGGAAUAUUGGACAAUGGGCGAAAGCCUGAUCCAGCAACGCCGCGUGAGGGAUGACGGCCU